rnacentral:rRNA from 1 species
CACGUAGGCGGACUCUUAAGUCGGGGGUGAAAUCCUGGAGCUCAACUCCAGAACUGCCUUCGAUACUGGGAGUCUUGAGUUCGGGAGAGGUGAGUGGAACUGCGAGUGUAGAGGUGAAAUUCGUAGAUAUUCGCAAGAACACCAGUGGCGAAGGCGGCUCACUGGCCCGAUACUGACGCUGAGGUGCGAAAGCGUGGGGAGCAAACA